rnacentral:pre_miRNA from 1 species
UUUAAGGGGGUGAUCUAGAGAACCGUUGCUUUUGUUAAAGUUGUUGAGGCUUUUUGUGCAAUUUUGUCCUCUUUCUAUUAUAGAAAAGCAACGGUUCUCUAGAUCACCCAUUAAAG